UUUUUUUUCUGAUGCAAAGCUUCACAACAAAAAUCUCCUCCAAUCAGAAAAACUGUGCCUGAUAACUAGGAAACAAGAUGAAGCAACUGAAAUAUUUGGAAAAGAUGAUGAGGUGUCUUUCUAUGGGAAUUUUGAUCCCGAUCAAUCCCUUGAUUCCACCAUUCCUGAUGACAAGGAAAAGGGAGAGCACAGAGAUAAGGUUGAGGAGAACAAGACUUUAAGUGAGGAACUAGAAAAGAAGAAAAAGAAGAAGACACGGAAGAAAAGAAAGAAG